UACGUAGGGUGCAAGCGUUGUCCGGAAUUAUUGGGCGUAAAGAGCUCGUAGGCGGUUUGUCGCGUCUGCUGUGAAAACUGGAGGCUCAACCUCCAGCCUGCAGUGGGUACGGGCAGACUAGAGUGCGGUAGGGGAGAUUGGAAUUCCUGGUGUAGCGGUGGAAUGCGCAGAUAUCAGGAGGAACACCGAUGGCGAAGGCAGAUCUCUGGGCCGUAACUGACGCUGAGGUGCGAAAGCCAGGGGAGCAAACGGG
rnacentral:rRNA from 1 species